CAUGCCGUAAACGAUGAUUACUAGGUGUGGGGGGUCUGACCCCUUCCGUGCCGGAGUUAACACAAUAAGUAAUCCACCUGGGGAGUACGACCGCAAGGUUGAAACUCAAAGGAAUUGACGGGGGCCCGCACAAGCAGUGGAGUAUGUGGUUUAAUUCGAAGCAACGCGAAGAACCUUACCAGGUCUUGACAUCUACCGAAUCCGGAAGAGAUUCCGGAGUGCCUUUCGGGGAACGGUAAGACAGGUGG
rnacentral:rRNA from 1 species